CCAUAAAUCAAAACUCGAGUCCUCUGGCCCCAAACAAGGUCACUGCUAUGAGAGCACACCUUAUUGGGGUCUUCACAGCUUUGAGAUUACCUGGUACGGGGCCACAAAUCUGGAGCAACCAAAUCCUGACCGCAAUGCCUUCUUUAUAUUGUAAAAAAUCAAGCAUUUUAAAAGGAAUAAAUGUCCAAGACUCACUAAACAUGCUUCGGUGAAGUGAAAGUCCUUUCUGAGUAAACUCAUUGGAUCGUAUUAGCCUCCGACAUGCCAUUGACUUCCCGUGUAUAAAACACCCUCAGAUGCUAAUUAAAACAACACCUUAAUUGGACAAUCGCAUCUUGAUUUUUACGUGACAUGCGUCCCCUCAGUGUAUGAAGGAAUGUUUUUACAGUUUGACUAAUAGGGGGAUAAACUGGGAGACACAACACUGAAGAAGAAUUGUUACGUCGAAUCUGUCUUGUUUCGCUAUGCAAAUGAUUUAAAUGGCCACAUGACAAACCAUUCUCAUAAUUCGAAACACAUGGUAAUAAUGUGUCAUUUGAUGACAUUUUCUAUUAAAGCAUUUUCAAUUUUUGGCUAUUUCAGUUUGUCGUGUGCAGGAUUCUUCAUUGGGUGCCGCAUUAGAAAGACAGGUGUUGAGCUUUACUUUAAUUCCCGGUAUUUGUCAAGCUUAUGAGGAAUAACUCCUGUAAGCAGCUACAGGUACAAUCAAUUCAAACUGUGCCGGUGUUGCACGAUUCAUGCUAGCGUGUAGGAGACGGUGGAGGGUAGCUGUAUACGGUAUGUCACGCCGGUGAAAAUCGUGCCAUUCGGUCCGACUCUGAUUGCGGCUUCCUGAUUGAAAAGCUCCCGGCAUGUCUGACGGCAUCUUCAAGGGCUAAAGGGGGUGUGAAAGGGACAAGACUUAUAAGAUGCGGAAGGGAGCGGAACGAAAUAUUUUGCGAAAUAUUAAACAGUUAUACGUUAAUCCUGCAAUAAAUGAAACGUACAGUAAAUGUCACUCAGCUCUGCUGGCUAAAGAUCCUGAUACUAGUCAUUACGAAACAAAUUUCUUAAAAUGUUUUUGUUUGCAAACUUUUACAUGUACCCUGUUGCGUGUCUCUGUGUAACAAGCAGAAUACACGCUGAUUUAUGUGCAUGUUACUAUCUUGAUAAUGGGUCUUGUAAAUAAAAUUGAAAUACUA